GUGUUAUUUGGCGUUGAAAAGAGGAUCCGGGGAGGUGGGCAGUCCUGCGCCCCUCGGAUCACCGCUGACAGGAGGAGAAAGCAGCGAUCCGCGCUGCAGCCCGCCCGCCCGCUGUUUGUGAGAGGUAAGGGGGUGUGUCUGUGUCCCAUACGGGUAUCUGCCUCGGAGAGACCGAGCAGAGGCGGGAAAUGGCGCCUGGUAACACAACGGUGUGUCGUUUCGGAGACGGCCCUUGACUCAGAUCCACUGAAAAAAGUCGGGAGCGGAUCGCGAAAACACACCGAGUCUCCGCUGCGAUGCUUAAUCGGCAUUGAGCCCAGCACCGACGUUAUCUUUGGAUAUUGCGGAUCACUGUAAACCUUACAUGUGACUGCAAAAACAAUGAGGCUGAGAAUGCGUAAGGCGUCUCAGCAACCGAACCCCACUCUGGCAAGCCGCCCGUCCAGAACCAAGCGGAGGCAUUCAGAAGUCGAGGAGGACACUCCCACCAGCGGAGGGAGGGGAUUGUUCUCCACCAUCAAGAAGUUCAUCAGAGGAAAUGCUGUUAAGGUGCAGCAGGAGACCCCGGCCAAGAAGACCCGCCUCCACUGUGAUGUGGACAACAACCUCAUCACCUCCACACCUUCAAACGCCAACAACCCGCGCAAGAGUAUAGGCAGGGUGGGCAGGAGAGGCUCCAUCAACGGACAGGCAACCAAUCAUGACAGGAGUAAGGAGAAGCCCAACGGCAGUCUGGACGAGACGACGGCCGUGGAGGUGCCCAGCAGCCCCCCCAGGACCACCCUUCUCGGGACCAUCUUCUCCCCCGUUUUCAACUUUUUCUCACCAGCUAAAAAUGCCUCUGCCGGCUCCGACUCGCCGGACCAGGCGCUGGAGGCCGAGGAGAUCGUCAAGCAGCUGGACAUGGAGCAGGCAGUGGAGACGCCCACCAGCACAGUCACAUCCACGCAGGAACUGUGCGCCGCCACCAACUUCUACUCCAGCGUGUCUCAGCUGCCGCCUCUGCGGCCGCCUCACAUCCUGGAGUCCUCGCCGACAGCGGCAGAAGGAGAGCUGGACGCUGAUCCCGACCUCCCCCCUCUCACAGCUCCCGGCUCCAGUCCAGAUAUGACUUACGUGGACGCUCCUCCUACUGCGGUGCCACCAGAGGCCACCUAUGAGGAGGACUGGGAGGUCUUUGACCCGUAUUUCUUCAUCAAGCACGUCCCUCCGCUGACAGAAGAGCAGCUCACCAGGAAGCCGGCCCUGCCGCUGAAAACGCGCAGCACGCCCGAGUUCUCUCUGGUCCUCGACCUGGAUGAGACGUUGGUCCACUGCAGUUUAAAUGAGCUGGAGGACGCUGCGCUCACCUUCCCGGUUCUCUUUCAGGAUGUCAUUUACCAGGUGUAUGUACGCCUCAGGCCAUUCUUUAGAGAGUUUCUGGAACGUAUGUCUCAAAUAUAUGAGAUCAUCCUCUUCACAGCCUCUAAAAAGGUGUAUGCAGACAAACUCCUCAAUAUCCUGGAUCCUAAGAAGCAGCUGGUGAGACACCGGUUGUUUCGGGAACAUUGCGUCUGUGUCCAGGGAAACUACAUCAAGGACCUCAACAUCUUGGGCAGAGAUCUGUCAAAGACCAUCAUCAUCGACAAUUCACCACAAGCCUUUGCAUAUCAGUUGUCCAAUGGGAUUCCCAUAGAGAGCUGGUUCAUGGACAAGAAUGACAAUGAGCUGCUGAAGCUGGUGCCCUUUCUGGAGAAGCUGGUGGAGAUGAACGAGGAUGUGCGGCCCCACGUUCGGGAGAGGUUUCGUCUUCACGACCUUUUACCUCCUGACUGAACUCCACCAGAUUUCCUCACAACGGGACAACAUGAACAGACUGAAAGCAACAUGCGUCGACUCUGCGGCUGUGCGGCCAGACAUUUGGCUCCACACUAAAUUUUAAAUUCUCGGUGCUGGUCUUAGUGGAUAUGAAAAUGCCACCAGGUUCAAGAGGAACUCCGCCCCGAACGGAAGUCCUUGAACCCAAACCGACCCCUCACCCCCACCCCCACCCCACCCUGGUGCUCACGCUGUUGACCCUGACGAAUUACCACACUCUGUGGCUACACAGGAAUGACUGGCCUGUAAAUCUAUCUGUGCAUGUGUGUAUGUUUACUCCUGGCCACACACACACACACACAACACACACUCACUCACUGAUUUGGUGUUUGGGCAAAACCUACAAUCUGUAGCCUUUAAAAAUCAUAUGCAUUCCUCCGUAGCUCUGUCAAGUUUGUAUUGUUGGUUGCCGUUUUUUCUGGUAAAACAGGUGUUUUGUUUUGUUUUUUUGUUUUUUUUAAAGAAAAAAGAUAGAGUUGCAAAAAAAAAAAAAAUUUUACUUCUGUUUGUAAGAUAUUACAUUUUAAAAGGGGUCAUGUAAGUUUUAUCGUUAGCCUUUUUCCUAAUAGGAGAACAUGAGUUCAUAUUAAUGACGGUCCACUGCUUAGUCAAAUGAAAUGGGAUUAUUCCAGGACUUGAUAGCUCUAACAGAAUAGAGGUUUGAAUCAGCGUGUUGGCUUCACUGUGGACACAACAUGGCUCCUUAAUUAAAAUGUUAAGAUUAAGAAUCUUCUUUACCUGUAAAUCUGACAUAUUGUAACGGUUUGAGGGCAUUCAUUUUCAAAGUGACGUGUCGACAUUAUCCUUUCUUUAACGAUAGUAUUUUAUUUUGUCAUUUGUCUGUAAUCAGUAUUGUCUUCUUAAUCCUAAUCGAGUAUUCUGGCUGAAAUCCGGAGCGUCGUCUCUUUGUUGCGUCAUCCGAUGGCUAUCAGUAGCAUUCUGACUAAUGUAGCGCAUCCCUGCCAGUGUGUCAUGACGUCUGCCUGUGGUAGAGAUCAGUGGCCAGACCCCGAACCAGCCAAACCUGGCACCAGCAACAUACUUCAGACUGCCCCUCUGUCCACUUCUUCCAUGCUUUUUCUUUUGAGCUUCUGGGUUUUUUUUUUCUUUCUUAAUUUUAGCACACUUUAAAAGUAUGGUGUUUUUAAGAAUGGUAACUCCAUGAAUGUUUUAGCCCAACUCCAGCCGGGACUCUCAAGCCAAACUGACAUUGUCACUCCUCUGUCGUUCCUCCUAAUUUAUUGGAAAGUGAAACACAGAAGGCAGAAAUGUGGACGUUCUGGCGACUUUACAAACCUGAAAAGAAAAAAAAAAAAAAAAUCUGGUGGUGGAGAAAUCAAAUGGCUGCUGGGUUGAAUGAGACUCUUCAUCGCCUCCAGUUGACUUGAAUCUGUGAUAAUUUGGCAUGUCUUCUGAGGUCUUCUGUUUUUUUUUAAGUUUUAAAUGAAAGUGCAUUUUUACGUUCACGCAAACUGUUUGAAUUGCCUGUACAGUGCCAUAACCUGCCCCCCCACCCCCCACCCCCCACCCCGUGUGCUCUCCCUCACAAAACGCUUCGAUGGAAAGAGACAAUCAGACCUCAAAGCUCUGCAGAUGCUGAAAUCAAGAGACGCCCACUAUUUUAUCCCCCUCGUGGUAUUUUUCAGUGCACGGUUUGUUGUGACUCCGCCGAGUCGUAUCUUCAUUCUGAGUAAAGACGAAUCCGGCUCUGCCAAAACAAUCCCUGCUCCUCACACAGGUCCUGUCCAGAAGGGGUUUCUGUCUUCUGUUUUGUUUGUUUUUUUUUUUUUCCUUUUUGCUUUCUCACACAGGAAGUUCAUGUCACUCCAGAAAUUUAGUUACUUUUUUUUAUUCAAGUGAAAUCGUUUUGGGGCACAAUGAUGUCUACUCUGAUACUCUGACAUGUCAGGAGUGCACAUGUCCAGACUAUGAAUGUAAAAGUGUACAUGGGUCGAAGGCUCAAGUGUCUUUCCCACCGCAGCAUCCCCCCCUGUCCUCUUCGCCCCUCACCUCCCAGGCUGCCAUCGUUUCGGUAUGCAAGUCUCACUCUUCGAGUGCACCACGUGUCCUCGGUGAGCUGUGAUCAAGUAAAGUUGCGAAUAUCAUGGCGUUUGUUUCCCUGUUUUUUUUUCCCUUUUUUUUUUUUUUUUUUUUUUUUUUACCCUGAAGGAUCAGUCGGAGGCAUUUGAUACUUUUCAUCCAGCUCUUUUAUGUGCAUUAUGGAUUUUUAUUGUACACUGAGUGUUGUACAAUACAUGCAGCUUCAUGUUUAAAAAAAAAAAAAAAAAAAAAAAAUCCUUAAAGGAAAAUCUUUUGUAUUUUUGAUUUCAAAAGGCAUGUCAUAUCUACUUUUUAAAUGUAUUAAUGAAGAUUUAACUUUACAUCAGAUGGAGUGUUUUUUUUUUUCUUACAAAUAUCUGUAUGUUUAGUUUAGCGCAAUGUCACUGAACUGUUAAACUUAGCAUGUAGAGAUUACAGCUUGCUUUGUGGGAAAGUCCUGAAUUAAAUUUUAAUCAUGGCACUUUUUCUGCAGAAAACAGCAGUCGUGUUAAUGUUUUUUGCUGUUUUUUUUCUCGUUUGUUUUAUAAAUUUGUUUUUCAAAAAUAUCAGUUAAAGCCAUUUUACUUGCAAGAAUUGCUAUUUGUGCUGAAGAUGUAUUUAAAUAUGUUUCAAGACAUCUUUGUUAUCUGUCAGGCUGUAUGCUAUUGUAAAGUGUAUAUACAGUUACAUUGAAUUUCUGAAACAAAGUUUUAAAGUGAAAACA